UACGAGAGGCCCAAACAUUAUUCGGAAUUACUGGGCUUAAAGAGUUCGUAGGCGGCUUGGUAAGUAGGGUGUGAAAUCCCUCGGCUCAACCGAGGAAUUGCGCUCUAAACUACCGUGCUAGAGGAAGCUAGAGGUGAGCGGAACUGAUGGUGGAGCGGUGAAAUGCGUUGAUAUCAUCAGGAACACCGGAGGCGAAGGCGGCUCACUGGGGCUUUUCUGACGCUGAGGAACGAAAGCCAGGGUAGCGAACGGG
rnacentral:rRNA from 1 species